CCUACGGGGCGCAGCAGUGGGGAAUAUUGCGCAAUGGGCGAAAGCCUGACGCAGCGCCGCCGCGUGAGGGAUGAAGGUCUUCGGAUCGUAAACCUCUGUCAGCAGGGAAGAACGGUCACUGUGCUAAUCAGCAGUGAAUUGACGGUACCUGCAAAGGAAGCACCGGCUAACUCCGUGCCAGCAGCCGCGGUAAUACGGUGGGUGCGAGCGUUAAUCGGAAUUACUGGGCGUACAGCGCUCGUAGGCGGUAUGUCAAGUCAAGGGCGUAAUCCCCGCGUUCAACGCGUGAA
rnacentral:rRNA from 1 species